GUCGAGGGGCAGCGGGGUUGUAGCAAUACAACUGCCGGCGACCGGCGCACGAGUGAGUAACACGUAUGUAACCUGCCCUCUGCAGGGGGAUAAGCGGAAGAAAUUCCGUCUAAUACCGCAUAAUACAAUUUGGAGACAUCUCCGGGUUGUCAAAGGAGUGAUCCGGCAGAGGAUGGACAUGCGGCGCAUUAGCUAGUCGGCGGGGUAACGGCCCACCGAGGCUACGAUGCGUAGGGGUUCUGAGAGGAAGGUCCCCCACACUGGUACUGAGACACGGACCAGACUCCUACGGGAGGCAGCAGUGAGGAAUAUUGGUCAAUGGGCGGAAGCCUGAACCAGCCAAGUCGCGUGAGGGAAGACGGUCCUAUGGAUUGUAAACCUCUUUUGCAGGGGAACAAGGCGCGGUACGUGUACCGCGAAGGAGAGUACCCUGAGAAAAAGCAUCGGCUAACUCCGUGCCAGCAGCCGCGGUAAUACGGAGGAUGCGAGCGUUAUCCGGAUUUAUUGGGUUUAAAGGGUGCGCAGGCGGACUGUUAAGUCAGCGGUAAAAUGUCGGUGCUCAACACCGGCCGGCCGUUGAAACUGGCAGCCUUGAGUGAGCGAGAAGUAUGCGGAAUGCGUGGUGUAGCGGUGAAAUGCAUAGAUAUCACGCAGAACUCCGAUUGCGAAGGCAGCAUACCGGCGCUCAACUGACGCUCAGGCACGAAAGCGUGGGUAUCGAACAG
rnacentral:rRNA from 1 species